rnacentral:rRNA from 1 species
UACGGGGGGGGCAAGCGUUGUUCGGAAUUACUGGGCGUAAAGGGCGCGUAGGCGGCGACUCUAGUCAGAUGUGAAAGUCCUGGGCUUAACCUGGGGACUGCAUUUGAUACUGGGUUGCUUGAAUUCGGGAGAGGAUAGCGGAAUUCCCAGUGUAGAGGUGAAAUUCGUAGAUAUUGGGAAGAAUACCAGUGGCGAAGGCGUUCUGCUGGGCCGUUGCUGACACUGAGGCGCGACAGCGUGGGGAGCAAACAGG